rnacentral:tRNA from 1 species
GUGGAAGUAGUUCAGUGGUAGAGCGUCAGAUUGUGGAUCUGAUAGUCGAGGGUUCGAACCCCUUCUUCCACC